UGUCUAUGCUUUUCCGGGUGGAACUCUCACCAGCCAAUCGUAUAUCAGAUUUUCUGCGUUGCACCUUUUGAUUGGCAACCUCUUACUUUUUCCAGGUACAUUAUUUUUUUUACUCGGGGUUCGUUUUGCAUUAUUUUCAGUUUAGUGGUAGAAAUUUGUCGCAUGAUUUUUGAGUGCUUUCCAAUAUUUGGAAAAUGAACGACAACUUGAUCGUGUCUCACAGCAUUUCAAACCAGUAUAUUGUGUGUCAGAGUUUAUUAUUUAGCUUGAAAAUUGGCCCAUGAUUUUUUUUGAAAGUGAUUGUUUUACUCGGCGUUUAUUCUUCCUAUGUUCAUUCCGGUGGUUAAAAAAAAAUCACCUCUCCGAUUUCGGACCACUUCCGUGGUGGUACUUUUAACAUUUUGAUGGACAGAUUCCUCAACCAAUCAUCGCGCUCUUCACAUACUGGGGACAAUUGAAAAUGGCGUAGCUCACUUGGCUGGACGCAGGGAGGCGAAAAGGGGACAUUUUUUGGUCUCCUUGUCCCUCUCCCACAAUGCCGAGUGAAAGGUUUUCUGCUAUGGCGAUAUCCUCGACAUGUUUUAGUGGAGAAAAUGAGAGGUGGCCCGGCAGAACUGCCCGUGUCACCGUAGAAUACGAAGACGCGGACCAGCCAUUGUUAAGCCUCAAAACAUCUCUGCAGCAUCCACACCACCAGGAGCACUCCAAGGAUGGAGGCACUGGAGAACACAUCUGAUCCACACCAGAGGAAUGUGCUUGAACAACAACAACCACCCUCUCCUGGGAUGAAGAAAAAUCAUAAUUUUCCAUGGAGGACCAGAUUUUUUUUGAUUGGGGGUGGGGUGGGGGGGGCACUCUCCCUGCCCCAACGCCUGCCAUCCUCUUGUAACAUGUCCGUGGUUUGGACCAAGCCUGUGGACUGACCUGGAGCUAAUACAGCAAGUUACACUCAUUCUUAAAAUUAUUAUGAUUAUUUGUUCUUCUUUUUAAUUUUAUUACAGAAAUUCCACAAACAGAAGUCAAUCUGAUAUAUAGAUUAUGAGAUAGAAAUUAUAUAAUUAACCAUUUAUCCGUACAUUAUGGUGAACUACAUGGAAAAUCCCUGUGUUAGUAUUUUGGGUGUUUUUUUUUGUUUUUGUUAACAACAAAUGCGUCGCGAAAUGAGUGGGCUAACCUCAUUUGUCAUUUGGAUGUCCUUUAAAUGACGACUGGUCGUAGUCUACUCCGUACAAAUAUGAAGCACAUAGUCUAAGACAUGCAAAACUGUAGCAAGUGUGAUUUUCAUCUUUUUUUUUUGCUUUCUUAGAGAAGGAUGAGCAGCAGGUUCAGUUCAUUUCGAGAUAUGUAUGAGUGUCUAUAUUUGGGCUGCGACUAACAAUUGUUUUAAUCGUCGAUUUAAUGUGGUGAUUAUUUUUGUUUGAUUCAUUCAACUGGAAAAAAAAAAGCUAAUUUCCAUACCGUCAUUCAAAAACGGAUCAUUAUUUCAUAUAAACGUAAAUUGAUUUUAUUGUGGUUUGGUUUUUGGAAAGAACAAAGAUAAUGAGUUUGCUCUCAUGGAAGACGACAGAAAUUGGACAUUGCAAUUCUAAAGAGUUGGACGAUUUUAAGUGAUUAAGGGAUAAAUCGAUUAUCUAAGUAGUUGUUGAUUCAUUUGGUCAUCACAGUUAGUCGAUUAAUUGGGUUUGAGUUUGAUCGCAAAAUAAAUCAAAUAUUUCCAUUGAGGAUCACAAAAAAAUAGUUUGUCCAAUGUGAAGUGUUCAAAAUACGUCCUCGUUUGAAAACAAAAGAAUCCUCUGCUUCUACUGUUAUUUUCAAUGAGGGGGGAAAAAAAUGCAAUUCAGUAGUUAAAAAAAAUGUGUACGAUAAUUGAGUCACACACAUUAGUAUUGAUUAUACCGAUUUAGGUAUAAUAAAUAAGUGUUCAACUUUUCGCAUAAUGCAUGUUCUAUUUAUGAUGCUAAUUUUAAAAUAAGAUGUCUUGUUUGUCUUAUUUUAUUCAUUUGAGCAUGAUACCGUAAAGAGAAAUUGUCAUGCUAACAUUUUAAUAAGUAAAAUUAAGCCAUCAUAAAAAAAAGCAAAUUUUUAGUUGGAUAAACAGGUAUGUUAUGCUAAUUUUAUGACGGUAUAGUCAAGAAAACAAAAAAAUUGUUGUAUUUGUGUAUAUUAGUUUAAUGUCAUUUUAUUUGUCCAAAAUUGAGUAUGAAUAAAAAUACAUUUGAUUUGCAUUUAUUUCAAUUCGCACUCAAAUAAAAGUAAAUGAUUUGCUUCGGUGGAUGUAUUUUAUCCUCUGAAUAUUAUCUUAAUGAAUUCACUUGAAAGAAAAAAAAAGAUAAAUUUUAUUUUAUUUUUUUUAACAAUGCAAAUUUCAGUAUCGCUAAAAUGUAUUCCUCAUCGUCAUUUCAGUGCAGUUAACACAAUAAAAACUUUUAUUUCCGUACGUUUGUCGAAAACGAAAAACUUUGAUCGGGCAGCGUGCAAUAUUGCAUCCAAACAUGUCACCUUGUUGACUGAUGCUGUGUGUAUUUAUAUGAUAUUGUGAAAAACAAACAAACAAACAAAACAAGUGACACGUUGUUUGAAAAGCAACAAAAUCACCAACGUCUUCCAUUUAAAAUUUGUAUAGUCUCAUUUUAGUCUUCUGCAUAUAGAUGCUCAUAAUUAACAUCAUAUAUAGUCGCCAUAUAAUGCAUGAUGCCUGCUUUAAUGCAACGCAGAUGAAUAAUCUCCCCGGAAAAAAAAAAAUAUACAUAAUAAAAAACAUUUAGAUGCAUGAUUCACCCUUUUCCUUUCAUAAAUGCACUCGAGCAACAAAUAAUUCCAAUAAUAGCACAAUUGAAUCAAAACGAUGGGACCGAAAUGAUUUUCCGAAGGAUUUUUCAGCCCUUUUGCGACAUGGUGUUGUACAUACGUGACGUGUAAUCCAGAAAAUUGUACAGGAUUAUUGAGGUUAGAUUAGCAGCAAUAAAUGCAUGAUUUCCGGCUCUCGCUUUUGGUGGCGGAGGCGCAAAUGCCUGAUUGCGACUUUCUGUUUUCAAAAUAGAUUUUGUCAGGCAUCUCCUGUCUCGUUGUGUUUCUCAGGAACGGAAAACGGUGUUGGGGUCAAUUUUGAGAUGCGCCGGAAAAUGGAAAAUCUACCAAUAAACCUUAUUUUGAAAAUUUGACGAAAGAAAACUACAUUUCACUCUUAAAAAAAAAGGGUCAAUCUGACCCGGUUUAUCAACUGUCCAACCGAUUUAACUAUCCAGAACCUGUAAGGAAAAGGGGAGGGAAUCACGUUCAAUGGAGCUUUAAGUAGGUUUCUUUGGAAACGGUCUUCUACCGGGUCAAUUUGACCCAGUGCAUAUUUCAUUCAGUUGAAUGCAUUGACUUGCCGAAUUCAACCAAAAGUGUCCCCAAAAAAAGUAAAUAUGUCAAUGAAGAUUGUUUCUAAGUGAGUAACUCUAUUAAUCGCCGUUUCAAAAUCCGAUAACCGUUGUUGUUUUUGUGACGUUUCAAAAAGAAAUACGGUACUUUAAAAAAAAAGUAUUGAUUUAACUUUUAAUCAGGUCAAUAUGACCCUAGGCAUGUUUCAUAAUCCAUGUCAGAAAUGCACCGGAGUGUUUAAAAUCUAAAGAUGAAGACAUUUCAUGCCGAAAAACAAAUUUAACAUGUCAAUGGUAUGUUAGGAGAUGACCUCAAGGGUCACUUUGACCCACCAGUGAACAGGAGGGUUAUAUGUGUUAUUGUUUGUUUUGGUGGGGUUCUUGAUUGAUACACAAGAUUUUUUACAUGCUUCAGAACGUCCAAAGUCAUUUUCCAAGCACUUUUUCUGCCUUGCACUGUCAACCACCAUCCUGUGUUUAUGUAUUUAUUCAUCAUGCCUUAUUGGGGACUUAUGACAUCAUGUUUCAAGUCAGUAAGUACUAAAACUAAAAAAGAUGAUGCAUGAUUUUUUUUUUAGCAGACCUGAUUGUAAUGCAUGCAAUAAUCCACAAGUGUGUCAUACUGUGUGCGAAGGGGAAUUUGUUCAUAUUGUAGCGAGCAUGUUGUAGCUUUCCCAAAUGGAAACCAUUUCUUUGUUCACCGAGGUGUACAAACUAUGCACUCCGCAACUAUGAGGAGGAAAACGGGCAUGCUUAUUAAUGUUCUUGUUCAAUGGUUUUGUAUGACUAACAAAAAAAAAUGUAUUCCUCAAAACUCAGCAAUAGUAAUGAGAAUAAAAUGCAGCAUGGUGCCAAUUAUGA